rnacentral:lncRNA from 1 species
AUUUAUUUAUUUUUCUGUACUGUUUGAAUUUCCUACAUGACUCUGUAUAUUAGCUUUACAACUGGAAGAAAAAAGUUAUUUGCAAGUCAGAGAAAGAGAUGUUCACUCAACUGCGUGAAAUACUUAUUAGCUGUUUUACUUUGUUUCUCCACAAAACCAGAGGAAUACCCAUCCACAUCCCUCUGUAGUAACAUACUACAUUUUAUAGGUAAAUUAAGCAGUUACCAUCUAAAGAGUUUAAAAUGUUUUAUAGGUAUGCGUAAAUUGUCUAGUUGCCCUCUUAUGUGAGAUCAAAGUGGAAAUGGCACAGUGCUUCCACUGUGUAGAUUCUGGACCCAGUACAUAAAUUAAUCCCUUGUCACGGGUAAAUAGGAAACAAAGCCAUUUAUUCAAUAUGUUAACCAUUUUGCUAAACCCUAGAGAUAAUACAGAAAUAUAGCAGAAAACAGUUACCAUUCUCAAAGAUUUUGUAUCCUAAGUGGGGCGACCCUGAAAUUUUCAGUAACAGGACAGCAAGAUAAAAAUGGGCAUGAGGCAGCACUUGAUUGAGUGGCAAUAAACUAAACAUUUAAUGACCAAGUUCAUCUGUUAACAUGCUUCUCACUUAGUUAUCGGGAAUGUACAGAUGACCAAAGCCAUAAACUGGAAAACUGAAUACUGACUUUAAGUGAGUCUCUUAACUUUUCAUUGUGUUUUUUUUGUUUGUGUUUUUGUUUUUUUGUCUUUUGUCUUCAUAGGGCCACACCCGGGGCAUAUGGAGGUUCCCAGGCUGGGGGUCCAAUCGGAGCUGUAGCUGCCAGCCUUCACCAGAGCCAGAGCAACGCCAGAUCCGAGCCGCGUCUGCGACCAACACCACAGCUCACGGCAACGCUGGAUCUUUACCCCACUGAGAGAGGCCAGGGGUCAAACCUGCAACCUCGUGGUUCCUAGUAGGAUUCAUUAACCACCGAGCCAUGACAGGAACUCCAAAAUUUCGAUGUUGUGUUCACAGCCUAUGAAUUUCUCAGCAAUAAAGGACCACACACCUAGUCUAAGUCAAAAGGUAAUUUUUUGUGGACUGUCCCAGAGCAUAGAUCUUUCUGCCUCAGUUUCUUCAUCUGCAAAUCAAGGAAAUAGUAUAUGUUGAUUAAAUGUAAAAUUACUUAAAGGGCCUAGUAGAAUUCCUAGUAUAUAGUGGACAUUCAAAAAAUGUGGCAUACUAUUAUCAUUUAUCGUGGGAACAUGUACAAAAGGGUUUAGUCACAACCGAUUCUGCUGUGAACACUUUUUCUAGCAAAGGUACGGGCAUCUUCAAGUAGAAAGAUAUCUGAAAUACUUUUGCAUAACACUAGCCUCUGACUUCCCAUAUUAUUUCUAAUUGUUAUUUUUAUUACCGUAAAGGAAUCUGUGUUCCAAACAUACCUCAUGUUAUUAUUUUCUAACAAUGAAUAGGAUAUGCAUUCAAUAUUUGAUAAAUUAUAUACACAACAAAAAACUAUAAUUGUUGUUUUUAAAAUAUAAUGAAUGUUGACUGAUACAUCAUUUCUAUGUCUGAUAACAAAACGGUGCUAUUGCACAAUUUUACCAUUACUCCAUUGUGGACUUACAUUUUAGUCUAAGAUUAUUUCUUAGCUGAUGCUUAUGGGUGGUUUCAGGUUUUAAUCAUCACAUUCAGUAUAGCGUAGACGCUAAGAGCCCUCAGGAAAAAUCUUUGAUCCAGCUUACUAACUGGGGGAACUUUGGACAUGGAGCUUAAACUUCCCAUGCCUCAGUGUCAUUAUCUGUAAACUGGGAUAAUACUAUUUAACUUAGGGCAUUGUUGUGAAUGGUAAAUAACAUAACCUAUAUAAAGAGAAUUCAAUACAUAGCAAGCAUUCAAUACUGGGUGGUUGCUAUUGCCAUUCAUCAUAGAAACUGGAACAUGGAGCUAGGUUUAGUCAUACUUAUUUUUAGUGUACACAUUUUGGCUACUUCUUUUUAAUCUUGAGACCUUUCACUUCUAACUAAAGUCUUCAAUCUAUUUACAAAUGAAGAGACUAAGGCACAGAAGGAUGAGUGAAUGUCCAAAGUCACUCUAGGUUAAUGGCAGAGCCAGCAUGUUAUAUCUAAACGCAUAUGUUUAAAUGUUUUAUUGCAACACAGUUCAAGGUGUUAUUUGGGACUUCCUUGCAGCCUCAGAAAUUACACAAAAAUAAAUACACUGCUGGAGUUCAUUUGUAUUGUGACUAGAACACAAAACAUUGUUCUUUUUCCUUUUUUUUUUUUUUCCUAGCUCUUUUGAUACACAAUACACAGGAAAGGAAAAAGAACUUUAGUAAUAUAAGGUAAUAACUUCAGCAACAAUUAGUAUAUAAUGCCGUGUGUAUUAGUUAAGAGACUUUUUUCAGUUUUAUCCUAAUUGUCAGUAAUUAUGCACCCUUAAGAUUCGCUAUCAGUAAACUCUAGAAGAGUUUGCAGCUAACAUAUAAACACAUUACACACACUUUAAAGGUUGUUGAUUUUGUGAAAUGUAAAAAGUUGGUUUAAAACAAAAGUUACAAAGAGUAAGUGAACACUGCACCUGAAAAUCAUUUUUCCCGAUGAAUACUGCCAGUUUCUUUUAGUUUUAAAGAAAAAAAAAUCAAUUUUAAAAUAUUAAAAAUAUGUACAUUUUAAAUAGAUAUAUAUAAUUCUACAGCUCCAGGCUGAUUCCAAAUUGCCUGAAAUCAACUCCCUGAAAAGUUCUUCGACAUACCACUUAUUUUGGAACCUAAGACUCCUUAAAAUUUAUCUCAACCUUCCCGUUAUUAAUUACUAUCUAUGGCGCACCUUUCUGAAUCUGUUAUUUUCCAGGAAGUUUUUUUCUUUUUAAUUAAAGCGAGAAUUCGUGUUUCAAACAGGCACAAAGGGAAGAAAAACUUUUCCCUCUGUUCAUCCACUUCUCACCUUUUUUAAGAUUCCUCACCUCUGGAAGGGAGGGUGGGAGGCACGCCAAGCUCACCGCCUAGCUGCAGUCAUGCGCGAGCGGACGCGGGCACCGCCGCGGGGUCAGCUGCAGCCAGCCGCGCGCUCGCUGCCCACCUCCAGCAACAGGUGCGAGAGAGCAACGCGAGGAAACUGCAGCCCUCUCGUGGGCACCGUGGAUGCUCGCAACACCACCCCGCAGCCACAGCCUACCUGGCCCCGGGGACACCGACAUCCGCCCACGCCCUGUGGUCUCCGCUGGUCCUCCCUUAGCACAGCCUCGCUCGCUCUGUCUCUCGCUUGCGUCCC